rnacentral:rRNA from 1 species
AUUUGUCUGGUUAAUUCCGAUAACGAACGAGACCUUAACCUGCUAACUAGUUCUCAAUACUCUGUAUUCUGCAACUUCUUAGAGGGACUAUGUAAAUCAAUUACAUGGAAGUUUGAGGCAAUAACAGGUCAGUGAUGCCCUUAUAUGUCCUGGGCUGCACGCGUGCUACACUGAUGCAUACAACAAGUGCCUAGCCAGACAUGGUAUGGCAAUCUCUAAUAUGCAUCGUGAUGGGGAUAGAUCUUUGCAAUUAUAGAUCUUGAACGAGGAAUUCCUAGUAAGUGCAAGUCAUCAUCUUGCAUUGAUUAUGUCCCUGCCCUUUGUACACACCGCCCGUCGCUCCUACCGAUACCGGGUGAUCCGGUGAACCUUUUGGACUCCGUACGGGGGAAGAUAAGUAAACCAUAUCACCUAGAGGAAGGAGAAGUCGUAACAAGGUUUCCGUAGGUGAACCUGCRGAAGGAUCA